rnacentral:rRNA from 1 species
AACACAUGCAAGUCGGACGGCAGCGUGUUCUAUCUUCGGAUAGAAUGACGGCGAGUGGCGGACGGGUGAGUAACACGUAGGAAUCUGCCUUAAAGUGGGGAAUAGCUUGGGGAAACUCAAGGUAAUACCGCAUAAUAUCUAAGGAGAAAGCUGGGGACCUUCGGGCCUGGCGCUUUAAGAUGAGCCUGCGUCAGAUUAGCUUGUUGGUGGGGUAAAGGCCUACCAAGGCGACGAUCUGUAGCUGAUUUGAGAGAAUGAUCAGCCACACUGGGACUGAGACACGGCCCAGACUCCUACGGGAGGCAGCAGUGGGGAAUUUUGGACAAUGGGCGAAAGCCUGAUCCAGCAAUACCGCGUGUGUGAUGAAGGCCUUCGGGUUGUAAAGCACUUUCAGUUGUGAAGAAAUAGGUUUGGUUAAUAGCCAAGCUGAAUGACGUUAGCAACAGAGGAAGCACCGGCUAACUCUGUG